rnacentral:rRNA from 1 species
GACGAACGCUGGCGGCGUGCUUAACACAUGCAAGUCGAACGGAAAGGCCCUGCUUUUGUGGGGUGCUCGAGGGGCAAACGGGUGAGUAACACGUGAGUAACCUGCCCUUGACUUUGGGAUAACUUCAGGAAACUGGGGCUAAUACCGGAUAGGAGCUCCGGCGGCAGGGGGGGGGUUGGAAAGUUUCGGCGGUUGGGGAUGGACUCGCGGCUUAUCAGCUUGUUGGUGGGGUAGUGGCUUACCAAGGCUUUGACGGGUAGCCGGCCUGAGAGGGUGACCGGCCACAUUGGGACUGAGAUACGGCCCAGACUCCUACGGGAGGCAGCAGUGGGGAAUAUUGCACAAUGGGCGGAAGCCUGAUGCAGCAACGCCGCGUGCGGGAUGACGGCCUUCGGGUUGUAAACCGCUUUCGCCUGUGACGAAGCGUGAGUGACGGUAAUGGGUAAAGAAGCACCGGCUAACUACGUG